rnacentral:rRNA from 1 species
UACGUAGGGUGCAAGCGUUGUUCGGAAUCACUGGGCGUAAAGGGAGCGUAGGCGGGAUCGUAAGUUAGGAGUUUAAUGCAUGGGCUCAACCCAUGAUCGGCUUUUAAUACUGCGGUUCUUGAGUAUGGGAGAGGGUGAUGGAAUUCCAGGUGUAGCGGUGGAAUGCGUAGAUAUCUGGAAGAACACCAGUAGCGAAGGCGGUCGCCUGGCCCAAUACUGACGCUGAUGCUCGAAAGUUGGGGGAGCAAACAGG